rnacentral:rRNA from 1 species
GUGAACGCUGGCGGUAGGCCUAACACAUGCAAGUCGAACGGCAGCACAGUAAGAGCUUGCUCUUACGGGUGGCGAGUGGCGGACGGGUGAGGAAUACAUCGGAAUCUACUUUUUCGUGGGGGAUAACGUAGGGAAACUUACGCUAAUACCGCAUACGACCUACGGGUGAAAGCAGGGGAUCUUCGGACCUUGCGCGAUUGAAUGAGCCGAUGUCGGAUUAGCUAGUUGGCGGGGUAAAGCCCCACCAAGGCGACGAUCCGUAGCUGGUCUGAGAGGAUGAUCAGCCACACUGGAACUGAGACACGGUCCAGACUCCUACGGGAGGCAGCAGUGGGGAAUAUUGGAUAAAGGGCGCAAGCCUGAUCCAGCCAUACCGCGUGGGUGAAGAAGGCCUUCGGGUUGUAAAGCCCUUUUGUUGGGAAAGAAAAGCAGCAGGUUAAUACCCCGCUGUUCUGACGGUACCCAAAGAAUAAGCACCGGCUAACUUCGUG